rnacentral:rRNA from 1 species
CGAACGCGAAGACCCCGCAAGGGGUUUGUAGCGUGGCAAACGGGUGAGUAACGCGUGGGCGACCUACCUCAGAGUGGAGGAUAACCUUCCGAAAGGGAGGCUAAUACCGCAUGACAUCCCAUGUUUGGAUACAUGGACAUCAAAGCCGGGGAUCGCAAGACCUGGCGCUUGGAGAGGGGCCCGCGUCCGAUUAGCUAGUUGGUGAGGUAACGGCUCACCAAGGCUCCGAUCGGUAUCCGGCCUGAGAGGGCGGACGGACACACUGGGACUGAGACACGGCCCAGACUCCUACGGGAGGCAGCAGUGGGGAAUUGUUCGCAAUGGGCGCAAGCCUGACGACGCAACGCCGCGUGGAGGAUGAAGACCUUCGGGUCGUAAACUCCUUUCGACCGAGAUGAAUUUCCGCUGACCUAACACGUCGGCGGGGGGACAGUAUCGAGGGAAGCAGCCCCGGCUAACUCCGUGCCAGCAGCCGCGGUAAUACGGGGGGGGCAAGCGUUG